rnacentral:rRNA from 1 species
CCUGGCUCCGUAUGAACGCUAGCUACAGGCUUAACACAUGCAAGUCGAGGGGCAGCAUGGUCUUAGCUUGCUAAGACUGAUGGCGACCGGCGCACGGGUGAGUAACACGUAUCCAACCUGCCGUCUACUCUUGGACAGCCUUCUGAAAGGAAGAUUAAUACAAGAUGGCAUCAUGAGUCCGCAUGUUCACAUGAUUAAAGGUAUUCCGGUAGACGAUGGGGAUGCGUUCCAUUAGAUAGUAGGCGGGGUAACGGCCCACCUAGUCUUCGAUGGAUAGGGGUUCUGAGAGGAAGGUCCCCCACAUUGGAACUGAGACACGGUCCAAACUCCUACGGGAGGCAGCAGUGAGGAAUAUUGGUCAAUGGGCGAGAGCCUGAACCAGCCAAGUAGCGUGAAGGAUGACUGCCCUAUGGGUUGUAAACUUCUUUUAUAAAGGAAUAAAGUCGGGUAUGCAUACCCGUUUGCAUGUACUUUAUGAAUAAGGAUCGGCUAACUCCGUGCCAGCAGCCGCGGUAAUACGGAGGAUCCGAGCGUUAUCCGGAUUUAUUGGGUUUAAAGGGAGCGUAGAUGGAUGUUUAAGUCAGUUGUGAAAGUUUGCGGCUCAACCGUAAAAUUGCAGUUGAUACUGGAUAUCUUGAGUGCAGUUGAGGCAGGCGGAAUUCGUGGUGUAGCGGUGAAAUGCUUAGAUAUCACGAAGAACUCCGAUUGCGAAGGCAGCCUGCUAAGCUGCAACUGACAUUGAGGCUCGAAAGUGUGGGUAUCAAACAGGAUUAGAUACCCUGGUAGUCCACACGGUAAACGAUGAAUACUCGCUGUUUGCGAUAUACUGCAAGCGGCCAAGCGAAAGCGUUAAGUAUUCCACCUGGGGAGUACGCCGGCAACGGUGAAACUCAAAGGAAUUGACGGGGGCCCGCACAAGCGGAGGAACAUGUGGUUUAAUUCGAUGAUACGCGAGGAACCUUACCCGGGCUUAAAUUGCAGAUGAAUUACGGUGAAAGCCGUAAGCCGCAAGGCAUCUGUGAAGGUGCUGCAUGGUUGUCGUCAGCUCGUGCCGUGAGGUGUCGGCUUAAGUGCCAUAACGAGCGCAACCCUUGUUGUCAGUUACUAACAGGUUCCGCUGAGGACUCUGACAAGACUGCCAUCGUAAGAUGUGAGGAAGGUGGGGAUGACGUCAAAUCAGCACGGCCCUUACGUCCGGGGCUACACACGUGUUACAAUGGGGGGUACAGAGGGCCGCUACCACGCGAGUGGAUGCCAAUCCCCAAAACCUCUCUCAGUUCGGACUGGAAUCUGCAACCCGACUCCACGAAGCUGGAUUCGCUAGUAAUCGCGCAUCAGCCACGGCGCGGUGAAUACGUUCCCGGGCCUUGUACACACCGCCCG